rnacentral:rRNA from 1 species
UACGUAGGGGGCUAGCGUUGUCCGGAUUUAUUGGGCGUAAAGAGCGUGUAGGCGGCUUUACAGGUCCGUUGUGAAAACUCGAGGCUCAACCUCGAGACGCCGGUGGAAACCGUAAGGCUAGAGUCCGGAAGAGGAGAGUGGAAUUCCUGGUGUAGCGGUGAAAUGCGCAGAUAUCAGGAGGAACACCUAUUGCGAAGGCAGCUCGCUGGGACGUAACUGACGCUGAGACGCGAAAGCGUGGGGAGCAAACAGG